ensembl:snRNA U6 U6 spliceosomal RNA
GUGCUCACAUAUAUUAAAACUAGAACCAUACAGAGAUUAGCAUGACUCCUGUGCAAGGAUGACAAGCAAAUUCAUGAAGUGUUCCAAAUUUUU